AUUAGUAGCGAGAUGUAGGUGAGAAUCCUACAGGCCGAAUACCUAAGGUUUCCUCAGGAAGGUUCGUCCUCUGAGGGUUAGUCGGGACCUAAGCCGAGGCCGAAAGGCGUAGGUGAUGGACAAUCGGUUGAUAUUCCGAUACCACUAUAAUCGUUAUUAUCGAUGGCGUGACGGAGAAGGAUAGAGUGUGCUAGCUAUUGGAUGCUAGUCUAAGCGUUUAGGGAGUCAGGAUAGGCAAAUCCGUCCUGAUAAUUCUGAGGCGUGAUGGGGAAGGUUCUAAGGAACCGAAGUACUUGAUUCCAUGCUUCCAAGAAAAGCGUCUAGAAAGAGAAGUAGUGCCCGUACCGUAAACCGACACAGGUAGGUGAGGAGAGAAUCCUAAGGCCGGCGGAAGAAUCACAGUUAAGGAACUAGGCAAAUUGACCCCGUAACUUCGGGAUAAGGGGUGCCUGCGCGAGCAGGUCGCAGAGAAUAGGCCCAAGCAACUGUUUAGCAAAAACACAGGUCUCUGCUAAAGCGAAAGCUGAUGUAUAGGGGCUGACGCCUGCCCGGUGCUGGAAGGUUAAGGGGAACACUUAGCGCAAGCGAAGGUGUGAACUUAAGCCCCAGUAAACGGCGGCCGUAACUAUAACGGUCCUAAGGUAGCGAAAUUCCUUGUCAGGUAAGUUCUGACCCGCACGAAUGGCGUAAUGAUUUGGGCACUGUCUCAACUGUGAAUCCGGCGAAGUUGUAGUGCGAGUGAAGAUGCUCGCUACCCGCGAUUGGACGGAAAGACCCCGUAGAGCUUUACUGUAGCUUAGCAUUGAAUUUCGGUAUUGUCUGUACAGGAUAGGUGGGAGACUAGGAAACCAGAGCGUCAGCUUUGGCGGAGUCACCCUUGGGAUACCACCCUGAUAGUACUGAGGUUCUAACUGGAUGCCAUGAAUCUGGUGACAGGACAUUGUUAGGUGGGCAGUUUGACUGGGGCGGUCGCCUCCGAAAGUGUAACGGAGGCGCCCAAAGGUUCCCUCAGAACGGUCGGAAAUCGUUCGAAGAGUGCAAAGGCAGAAGGGAGCCUGACUGCGACACCCACAAGUGGAGCAGGGACGAAAGUCGGGCUUAGUGAUCCGGUGGUACCUCGUGGGAGGGCCAUCGCUCAACGGAUAAAAGCUACCUCGGGGAUAACAGGCUGAUCUCCCCCAAGAGUCCACAUCGACGGGGAGGUUUGGCACCUCGAUGUCGGCUCGUCGCAUCCUGGGGCUGAAGUAGGUCCCAAGGGUUGGGCUGUUCGCCCAUUAAAGCGGCACGCGAGCUGGGUUCAGAACGUCGUGAGACAGUUCGGUCCCUAUCCGUCGCGGGCGUAGGAAAUUUGAGAGGAGCUGUCCUUAGUACGAGAGGACCGGGAUGGACUGACCUCUGGUGCACCAGUUGUUCCGCCAGGAGCACAGCUGGGUAGCUAAGUCGGGAAGGGAUAAACGCUGAAAGCAUCUAAGCGUGAAGCCCACCUCAAGAUAAGAUUUCCCAUAGCGUAAGCUAGUAAGACCCCUUGAAGGACACAAGGUUGAUAGGUCAGAGGUGUAAGUGUGGUAACAUAUUUAGCUGACUGAUACUAAUAGGUCGAGGGCUUGACC
rnacentral:rRNA from 1 species